rnacentral:tRNA from 1 species
GCCGGCGUGGUGAAAUUGGUAGACACGCAGGACUUAAAAUCCUGUGACCUUUGGUCGUAUCGGUUCAAGUCCGAUCGCCGGUACCA